GACGUAGGGCGCGAGCGUUGUCCGGAUUUAUUGGGCGUAAAGAGCUCGUAGGCGGCUUGUCGCGUCGGCUGUGAAAUCCCGAGGCUCAACCUCGGGUCUGCAGUCGAUACGAGCAAACUAGAGUGUUGCAGGGGAGACUGGAAUUCCUGGUGUAGCGGUGAAAUGCGCAGAUAUCAGGAGGAACACCGGUGGCGAAGGCGGGUCUCUGGGCAGUAACUGACGCUGAGGAGCGAAAGCGUGGGGAGCGAACAGG
rnacentral:rRNA from 1 species